rnacentral:misc_RNA from 1 species
GAUGAAGAACGCAGCGAAAUGCGAUAAGUAAUGUGAAUUGCAGAAUUCAGUGAAUCAUCGAAUCUUUGAACGCACAUUGCGCCCCCUGGUAUUCCGGGGGGCAUGCCUGUUCGAGCGUCAUUUCAACCCUCAAGCACGGCUUGUGUGUUGGGCCUCCGUCCUCCUCCCGGGGGACGGGCCCGAAAGGCAGCGGCGGCACCGCGUCCGGUCCUCGAGCGUAUGGGGCUUCGUCACCCGCUCUUGUAGGCCCGGCCGGCGCUUGCCGACACAUCAAUCUUUUUUCCAGGUUGACCUCGGAUCAGGUAGGGAUACCCGCUGAACUUAAGCAUAUCAAUAAGCGGAGGA